rnacentral:piRNA from 1 species
UAGAGUUUUCACAACAAAAUU